rnacentral:rRNA from 1 species
GACAGAGGUUGCAAACGUUGUUCGGAAUCACUGGCUUAAAGGGCGCGUAGGCGGGCGGUCAAGUCAGGGGUGAAAUCUUUCGGCUCAACCGGAAAAGUGCCUUUGAUACUGGCCGUCUGGAGGGAGGUAGGGGCGUGCGGAACUUUGGGUGGAGCGGUGAAAUGCGUAGAUAUCCAAAGGAACACCGGUGGCGAAAGCGGCGCGCUGGACCUCUACUGACGCUGAGGCGCGAAAGCCAGGGGAGCAAAGCGGG